rnacentral:rRNA from 1 species
GAUGAACGCUGGCGGCGUGCCUAAUACAUGCAAGUCGAGCGAACAGACGAGGAGCUUGCUCCUCUGACGUUAGCGGCGGACGGGUGAGUAACACGUGGAUAACCUACCUAUAAGACUGGGAUAACUUCGGGAAACCGGAGCUAAUACCGGAUAAUAUAUUGAACCGCAUGGUUCAAUAGUGAAAGACGGUUUUGCUGUCACUUAUAGAUGGAUCCGCGCCGCAUUAGCUAGUUGGUAAGGUAACGGCUUACCAAGGCAACGAUGCGUAGCCGACCUGAGAGGGUGAUCGGCCACACUGGAGCUGAGACACGGUCCAGACUCCUACGGGAGGCAGCAGUAGGGAAUCUUCCGCAAUGGUCGAAAGCCUGACGGAGCAACGCCGCGUGAGUGAUGAAGGUCUUCGGAUCGUAAAACUCUGUUAUUAGGGAAGAACAAAUGUGUAAGUAACUAUGCACGUCUUGACGGUACCUAAUCAGAAAGCCACGGCUAACUACGUG